rnacentral:lncRNA from 1 species
CCAAACGACAUGCUCCAGUUUAACAGAACACACACACGCACACACACACACACACACACACACAGUAUCCAGGGAUCGUCAGAGUCACUCUAACUAUAGCAGAGAUGACUAAAAGCAGCUCCAGAGCUCUUUUUUACCUUCCUAUCAUCUAUUUCUGCACAGGAGCCGUGAGUGCAGACAUGUUGGCAUCUCUGGCCCCUCCAGUCCACCUGUCAGGGGACAGACUGGGCUGGACUCUGCUGGUCUGCAUAGUGAGCGACUUCAGGAGAGGUCGUCUGAAGGUCAGCUGGAGCUCAGCAUCACAUGGUCUUAUUUCCAGCUCACCUUACAGAGCAUCAGUGAGCAGGAGGUCACCAGGCCACGGCGCCAUGGCUGCAAUCACCGUAGUGACCAGAGACUGGCCGUCAUACAGAUGCUCUGUAGGACGAGGACCAAGACACCACGUCAGGUCCACAGAUAAAGGAGAAGAGAGUUGGCCUGAAGAGGAUGAAACAGAGGGUGUGCACAUCUGGACAAACAUUGUGACGCUGCUGGCUCUGAGGCUGCUGCUCAUCAAGUUACUGGCCUUCAACACUCUGAUGACUCUCGCUGCUGUCCUUCCAUAGGAUGAACGUACUCAACCUUUUCAUCUGCAGCUCAUCACGCUGUCCUUUUACAGUGUUUUUAACCAAGGUUACGUCUUUCUAGAUCCUUGAAGAUAUUCUAAUUGUAUGGGUUGAGACACGAGUUUGCAAUGAUGCUAAAAAUAAUAGAUUCUUUGUCUGCCCAGGAUUCCAGAAAGUUUAUUUUGUCUUCUUGUUGAAUAUUAUGUUACGGUUUCAUGUAUUCACUUUUUUUCAGGAAAUGUACUUUGAUCUCCGGACACAUCAAAGAGAUCAGCAGACGCCUCGGAGGAAGACUGACCGUUGACAGUAGAAACAUGUCAGGAGAUCAAAGUCCAUUUCAUAAAAAAAGUUGUCUGAAUAAAUAAAUAAACCGUAACA